UACGUAGGGUGCAAGCGUUAAUCGGAAUUACUGGGCGUAAAGCGUGCGCAGGCGGUUUUGUAAGUCAGAUGUGAAAUCCCCGGGCUUAACCUGGGAACUGCAUCUGUGACUGCAUCGCUGGAGUACGGUAGAGGGGGAUGGAAUUCCGCGUGUAGCAGUGAAAUGCGUAGAUAUGCGGAGGAACACCGAUGGCGAAGGCAAUCCCCUGGACCUGUACUGACGCUCAUGCACGAAAGCGUGGGGAGCAAACGAGGAUUACGAA
rnacentral:rRNA from 1 species